UACGAAGGGGGCUAGCGUUGCUCGGAAUUACUGGGCGUAAAGCGCACGUAGGCGGAUUGUUAAGUCGGGGGUGAAAUCCUGGAGCUCAACUCCAGAACUGCCUUUGAUACUGGCGAUCUUGAGUCCGGGAGAGGUGAGUGGAACUGCGAGUGUAGAGGUGAAAUUCGUAGAUAUUCGCAAGAACACCAGUGGCGAAGGCGGCUCACUGGCUCGGUACUGACGCUGAGGUGCGAAAGCGUGGGGAGCAAACAGG
rnacentral:rRNA from 1 species